rnacentral:rRNA from 1 species
AUGAGCAAAAGCUUAAGCCCUCGCUACCAAGGGCUUUCCACCUACGAGAAGGAGUAUCUGGCUAUUGUAGUUGCAGUAGAUCAAUGGCGACCGUAUUUGCAGCACAAUGAAUUCAUCAUCCACACAAACCAGAAGAGCUUAGUCCAUCUCGAAGAGCAGCGUCUCACUACACCCUGGCAGCAGCGGGCAUUUACUAAGCUACUCGGCCUUCGUUACAUCAUCGGAUACAAGAAAGGGACAGAGAACACAGCGGCUGACGUGCUAUCGCGUCUACAACUGUAA